rnacentral:rRNA from 1 species
CACACGCGGCAUUGCUGGAUCAGGGUUGCCCCCAUUGUCCAAAAUUCCCCACUGCUGCCUCCCGUAGGAGUCUGGGCCGUGUCUCAGUCCCAGUGUGGCUGAUCGUCCUCUCAGACCAGCUACUGAUCGUCGCCUUGGUGGGCUCUUACCCCACCAACUAGCUAAUCAGACAUCGGCCGCUCCUAUCGCGCGAGGCCGUUACCGGUCCCCCGCUUUCACCCUC